rnacentral:rRNA from 1 species
ACGGGUGAGUAACACGUGACUACCUACCUUUGAGUGGGGGAUAACCCCGGGAAACCGGGGCUAAUACCGCAUAACAUCGCAAGAUCAAAGAAGCAAUUCGCUUAAAGAGGGGGUCGCGGCUGAUUAGCUAGUUGGUAGGGUAAUGGCCUACCAAGGCGAUGAUCGGUAGCCGGCCUGAGAGGGCGCACGGCCACACUGGAACUGAAACACGGUCCAGACUCCUACGGGAGGCAGCAGUGGGGAAUUUUGCGCAAUGGGGGAAACCCUGACGCAGCAACGCCGCGUGGAGGAUGAAGUCCCUUGGGACGUAAACUCCUUUCGACCGGGACGAUUAUGACGGUACCGGUGGAAGAAGCCCCGGCUAACUUCGUGCCAGCAGCCGCGGUAAUACGAGGGGGGCAAGCGUUGUUCGGAAUUAUUGGGCGUAAAGGGCGCGUAGGCGGUGCGGUAAGUCACCUGUGAAAACUCUGGGCUCAACUCAGAGCCUGCAGGCGAAACUGCCGUGCUUGAGUGUGGGAGAGGUGCGUGGAAUUCCCGGUGUAGCGGUGAAAUGCGUAGA